rnacentral:rRNA from 1 species
UACGAACUGUGCAAACGUUAUUCGGAUUCACUGGGCUUAAAGGGUGCGUAGGCGGCCAUGUAAGUAGGGUGUGAAAUCCCCCGGCUUAACCGGGGAACUGCGCCCUAAACUGUGUGGCUUGAGUGAGAUAGGGGUGUGUGGAACUUCCGGUGGAGCGGUGAAAUGUGUUGAUAUCGGAAGGAACGCCGGUGGCGAAAGCGAACACACUGGGGUCUCAACUGACGCUGAGGGCACGAAAAGCCAGGGGAGCGAACGGG